AAGUCGUAACAAGGUCUCCGUAGGUGAACCUGCGGAGGGAUCAUUACUGAGUUACACUCAAACCCUGUUUAAGAAUCUGUUGCUUCGGAGGCGCCCCUCGGGAGGGGAUUUGCUUCGGCCGCCUCCAACAGCACCUUUACUCUUAACUUUGAUUUGUUUAUAUUCAGUCCAAAAAAAAAUCAAAACCUCAACAACGGAUCUCUUGGUUACA
rnacentral:misc_RNA from 1 species